rnacentral:rRNA from 1 species
AUGGAAGACCUUCCGCCGGCCCCGCGCCGGCCGCUCUUCGACCUCAACGUCGCCAUGGAGGAUUUCGAGGAGGAGGAGCCCCAGGAGGUGGAGGAGGUCGUCGAGGUGGAGGAAGUAGUUGAGGAGGAGGAUGAGGAGGAAGAGGAACAGGCUCCCAAGGAGAUGAUCAUGGGGGAGGAGACGGCGGUGGCGCCGGCCGAGGAAGAAGACGCUAUUGUGGAGAAGGAGGUCGUGGAGGAGGUGGGGGUGUCUGGGGAAGGAGGGGAGAACGAGGGGAGGAGGAAGAAGAGGAAGGAGUACGAGGUGUUCGUGUUUGGGCUGCCGCGGGGAGCCAUGGAGGAUGACGUCGCGGCAGCGCUCACCGAGGCCGGUGAGGUCGAGGAGGUGCGGCUCGUCCGGGAUCCGGUGGAGCCGCAGCUUAACAAGGGCUUUGCCUUUGUACGCUUCGCCGAGGUUUGGCAGGCGAGGUGGGCUGCCAACGACCUCCGCACGGCCAUGAUCAAGGGAAAAGCUUGUGGAAUAUGCAAGAACAAUGAUAAUGAGACCCUUCAUCUUCGGAACAUUUGCUUCGAUUGGUCAAAAGAUGAUUUAGCAGAGAAGCUGAAAACCUUUGAGUUGGAAAACCUUGAAGAUAUCAAUUUAAUUGAGCACCCGGAUAGAAAGGGAAGAAAUAGAGGCUAUGCGUUUCUUGACUUCAGCUCACAUGUGGAUGCUGUUGCUGGAUUUCUUAAACUACAGAAAAGAGAUUUGUUUCUUGGUACUGAUGUUAGAGCACAAAUAUCAUUUUCAAACACCAUUUCACAAGAUGAUAAGGUUAUGGAGAAGGUAAAAUCUGUUUUCUUGGAUGGCUUACCGCCUCAUUGGGACGAAGACGACGUGAGGGAAAAGUUUGGAAAGUUUGGUGAAAUUGAUAAUAUACAACUUGCUAGAAAUAUGUUUACAGCAAAACGUAAAGAUUUUGGUUUCAUCAGCUUUACUACAAGACAAGCGGCAUUAGAUUGCAUUGAUAUGGUCAAUAAAGGUCGCUUUGGUGAAGGUAGUGGAAAGAUCCGCAUGAAGGCUACUCUACAAAGACCAAAGCCUACUUUCAAAAAGCCUUCAUGGCAAGGGGAUAAUCACAUGUUGGGCGUCAGGAGAGGAUUUAUUGGCAAAAAUUAUGGUGACAGAGAGCCCCACCCUAACAGAUUCAGGCAUUUAGGUCCUGAAAGACAUCCUUAUUCAAAUCAUAGCAACUACCCAGGGAGCAGAAUUCGGGGAGGUUAUGUUGGUAGGUUGCCUCCCAUGGCGGUUGAUGAUGGAGAAAGACCUGUUUCAGUGCGAGAAUACAGGUCUUACUACAGAAGAGAUUCUACAGUACCUGACCCCCGCCAUAAAUAUGGAAGGACACACCCGGGGAGCAGAAUCCGGGAAGGUUAUGUUGAGAGUCGAUAUGAUAAUAAAUAUCCAAAACAUAAGCAUGCAGCAUAUGAAGCAUCAACCAUGCAAGGAGAUGAAUACAGCAGGAGUAAAUAUAGACAUUCAUACUUGGAGAGGGCACAUGAUGAAUCUUGCCCAGAAUGCAUUAGAGGUGAUCAUAACUCAAGUGCUUAUCAGAGUGGGCAUUACUCCAGCGCUGGCAAGGCUGGUCAUCACUACCAGUGUGAGAAUGUUGAUGAAUUUGCUGCAACCAGUGGUGGAUCGGAGAAAGACUACUAUAAUAAGACAGAGCAUGAGCUCACGGUGGCUUCAACUUCUCAAGUAGCACCUCAGCGCAAGGAACCCUACCGCGGGGUGGAACAAGAGUUAUUGCCUUCAAGUCCUGCGAUGUGUAACUGUAGCGAAUGCUACAAGGGGCAGAAGUCAGCAGCAGCCCCUUCAAGCUCUCAAAGCGAGAUAACUAGUCAUUCCAAUCCUCAAGUUGCUGCUCCCCAUCGCCGGAUUGCUAAACCUUUUCAUGACCAGCGGAGCUUUGUUCCUGAUGAGUAUGAUGAGGUAGAGUACACAGUCAGGGAGCGCAGAGGCCGAUAUUUAUCUGCAAGAGACGGGAGGAAAUACUCUAGGCAAGGACGAUAG